UACGUAGGGUCCGAGCGUUGUCCGGAAUUACUGGGCGUAAAGAGCUCGUAGGUGGUUUGUCGCGUUGUUCGUGAAAACUCACAGCUCAACUGUGGGCGUGCGGGCGAUACGGGCAGACUGGAGUACUGCAGGGGAGACUGGAAUUCCUGGUGUAGCGGUGGAAUGCGCAGAUAUCAGGAAGAACACCCGUGGCUAAGGCGGCUCUCUAGUACGGUACUGACGCUGAGACGCGAAAGCGUGGGGAGCGAACAGG
rnacentral:rRNA from 1 species